rnacentral:rRNA from 1 species
UACGUAGGUGGCAAGCGUUGUCCGGAUUUACUGGGCGUAAAGGGCUUGUAGGCGGUUUGUUAAGUCUGGUGUGAAAUCUCCCGGCUCAACCGGGAGGGGUCAUUGGAUACUGGCAGACUAGAGACGGGUAGAGGAAAGCAGAAUUCCCGGUGUAGCGGUGAAAUGCGUAGAUAUCAGGAGGAACACCGAUGGCGAAGGCAGGUCUCUGGGCCGAUACUGACGCUGAGGAGCGAAAGCGUGGGGAGCGAACAGG